rnacentral:rRNA from 1 species
AUCAUGGAGAGUUCGAUCCUGGCUCAGAACGAACGCUGGCGGCGCGUCUUAAGCAUGCAAGUCGAGCGGGAACAGAUAGCUUGCUAUCUGCGAGAGCGGCGGACUGGUGAGUAACACGUGGGUGACGCACCCUUCGGACGGGGAUAGCCUGUAGAAAUACAGGAUAAUACCGGAUACGAAUCCACAGGUUGGAGAUGUGGAUGGAAAGCCCCUACGGGGGCGCCGGAGGAGCGGCCCGCGGCCCAUCAGCUGGUAGGUGAGGUAAAGGCCCACCUAGGCAAUGACGGGUAUCCGGCCUCAGAGGGUGGACGGACACAUUGGGACUGAGAUACGGCCCAGACUCCUACGGGAGGCAGCAGCUAAGAAUAUUCCGCAAUGGGGGAAACCCUGACGGAGCGACGCCGCGUGGACGAUGAAGGCCGGAAGGUUGUAAAGUCCUUUUGCGGGUGAGGAAUAAGGGCCAGAGGGAAUGCCGGUACGAUGACUGUAACCUGCGAAUAAGCAACGGCUAAUUACGUGCCAGCAGCCGCGGUAACACGUAAGUUGCGAGCGUUGUUCGGAAUCAUUGGGCGUAAAGGGCAUGUAGGCGGUUACGCAAGCCUGGUGUGAAAGCCCGAGGCUUAACCUCGGGAUGCGCCGGGAACUGUGCAACUAGAGUAGCUGAGGGGCAGCCGGAAUUCCAGGUGUAGGGGUGAAAUCUGUAGAUAUCUGGAAGAACACCGAUGGCGAAGGCAGGCUGCCAGCAGAUUACUGACGCUGAGGUGCGAAGGUGCGGGGAGCGAACAGGAUUAGAUACCCUGGUAGUCCGCACAGUAAACGAUGCACACUGGGUGUCCGCCCAUGAGGGUGGGUGCCGAAGCAAACGCGAUAAGUGUGCCGCCUGGGGAGUAUGCCCGCAAGGGUGAAACUCAAAGGAAUUGACGGGGGCCCGCACAAGCGGUGGAGCAUGUGGUUUAAUUCGAUGGUACGCGAGGAACCUUACCUGGGUUUGACAUGCACGGUGAUACCGGGGAGAUCCGGGGGUCCAGCAAUGGAACCGUGCACAGGUGCUGCAUGGCUGUCGUCAGCUCGUGCCGUGAGGUGUUGGGUUAAGUCCCGCAACGAGCGCAACCCCUACCGUCGGUUACCAGCAAGUAAAGUUGGGGACUCCGGCGGAACUGCCGGCGACAAGCCGGAGGAAGGUGGGGACGACGUCAAGUCAUCAUGGCCCUUAUGCCCAGGGCUACACACGUGCUACAAUGGCCGGUACAGAGCGAAGCGAGACCGCGAGGUGGAGCGAAGCGCAGAAAACCGGCCGUAGUCCGGAUUGGAGUCUGAAACCCGACUCCAUGAAGUUGGAAUCGCUAGUAAUCGCGCAUCAGCACGGCGCGGUGAAUACGUUCCCGGGCCUUGUACACACCGCCCGUCACACCAUCCGAGUCGGGGAUACCCGAAGUCGGCAGGCUAACCGGAAACGGGGGCCGCUGCCGAAGGUAUGCCCGGCGAGGGGGGUGAAGUCGUAACAAGGUAGCCGUACCGGAAGGUGCGGCUGGAUCACCUCCUUU